rnacentral:rRNA from 1 species
AGGGGAAUAUUGCACAAUGGGCGAAAGCCUGAUGCAGCGACGCCGCGUGAGGGAUGACGGCCUUCGGGUUGUAAACCUCUUUCAGCAGGGACGAAGCGCAAGUGACGGUACCUGCAGAAGAAGCACCGGCUAACUACGUGCCAGCAGCCGCGGUAAUACGUAGGGUGCAAGCGUUGUCCGGAAUUACUGGGCGUAAAGAAUUCGUAGGCGGUUUGUCGCGUCGUUUGUGAAAACCAGCAGCUCAACUGCUGGCUUGCAGGCGAUACGGGCAGACUUGAGUACUGCAGGGGAGACUGGAAUUCCUGGUGUAGCGGUGAAAUGCGCAGAUAUCAGGAGGAACACCGGUGUCGAAGGCGGGUCUCUGGGCAGUAACUGACGCUGAGGAACGAAAGCGUGGGUAGCGAACAGG